rnacentral:lncRNA from 1 species
CUCUUAUGCUCAGGCUCCUCCCAUUGCAGAAGAGAGCUUUCUCCUAGCUGCCUUAGAAUGCCAGACUCUCCUGGUUGCCUUUGAUGCAGAACUCUCAGCUCCUUCUACAGCACCAUGUCUGCCUGCAUGCUGCCAUGCUUCCUGCCAUGAUGAUAACAGAUUAAACUUCUGAAACUCUGGAGACACAAAAGACACUGUGCUCCUGAAUCCCCUGCAGUCACCUUGGAUUCCAGGAACAGCAGAACUUUGUAAGGUGGUACUGUCUACGUGCUACGUUUUAUGACUUGUAUGGUUCUUCCAUCAUGGAGUCAGUCGGGGCUUACUAAGGUCUGGGGCCCUAUGACAAGAUUACUGCUGCCCAUUAGAGCUCAUCUUAACUGCCUUUUCUUCCACUUGGCUGCUGGAGCUGAAUUCUGGACCCCUGGAAGAGCAGCAUGUAUGGUUAGCUGCUGAGUCAUCUCUCCAGCACCAUUUCCUCUUUUAUAACACAUAUUAAUGCUGUUAUUUUAAUAAAGUUUUUGUUAUAA